rnacentral:rRNA from 1 species
CAGCAGCCGCGGUAAUACGUAGGGUGCGAGCGUUAAUCGGAAUUACUGGGCGUAAAGCGUGCGCAGGCGGUUGUGUAAGACAGGUGUGAAAUCCCCGGGCCUAACCUGGGAACUGCGCUUGUGACUGCACAGCUAGAGUAUGGCAGAGGGGGGUGGAAUUCCACGUGUAGCAGUGAAAUGCGUAGAGAUGUGGAGGAACACCGAUGGCGAAGGCAGCCCCCUGGGCCAAUACUGACGCUCAUGCACGAAAGCGUGGGGAGCAAACAGGAUUAGAUACCCCCGUAGUCCCUGUCUCUUAUAC